UGGGGAAUAUUGGACAAUGGGGGCAACCCUGAUCCAGCCAUGCCGCGUGAAUGAUGAAGGCCUUCGGGUUGUAAAGUUCUUUUGGUGGGGAAGAUAAUGACUGUACCCACAGAAUAAGCUCCGGCUAACUUCGUGCCAGCAGCCGCGGUGAUACGAAGGGAGCUAGCGUUGUUCGGAAUUACUGGGCGUAAAGGGCGCGUAGGCGGUCUCGCAAGUCUGAUGUGAAAGCCCUGGGCUCAACCCGGGAACUGCGUUGGAUACUGUGAGGCUAGAGUUCGGGAGAGGUGAGUGGAAUUCCCAGUGUAGAGGUGAAAUUCGUAGAUAUUGGGAGGAACACCAGUGGCGAAGGCGGCUCACUGGACCGAAACUGACGCUGAGGCGCGAAAGCGUGGGGAGCAAA
rnacentral:rRNA from 1 species